GCAACGCUAAAAAAACAAACAACAAGUUAAAAUCUACACUAAACAAGAUAUUAAUAUACAAUGGCUAUCUGGGAUAUUUUGCAACUAUUUUCAAUUUCGAUACUUUCUGGGGUAUGGCUAACAAUAUUCUACAAGCGAGAUUUUCAACUCGAACGACAUUUGAUCUGUCGAAUACGGUACAUAAUUGCCAUAACGCUAGUCUGGGGAGCAGUGUAUUCUACAAACAUUCGGGUGUUGACGGUGCUAACCUCGUUUGGGACACUGAUUUACGUUCUCACAGAAUUACAAGCGUUAGCUAAUUUGGAAGAAAGAAUAAAGUGUUUUGCGUUGGGAUUUUCGUUGCUUUUCACACGUGUCUGGGAGGUAGAAUAUCUGGUCUGUAUUACGGUAUUCUGUGCUUUAACUCAACUCCUCCGUUGGCCAAUUAGCCUGAAAAACAAACUCCGCGAGUUGCGUAUCAUUUUUGGGCCUGUGUACACCAUUUUUGCAGUUGGAAGUUGGAUCCAAGCUGAUUUUACUUCGAGCCUAAUCCUGACUGUUGCUGCCAUCCUCGCGUUAGUGGCUUCAAUUCUACUUCGCCCGGACAAUAAUGAAGUCUUAAAAUCACUGAACUUUUUGGGAUUGCCCAUUCCAAGUCAACAAUGUCGAAAAAUGGCUCACGGACUAUCUAUGUUUGUUAGCUUCGUCUUGUGCCUGGUGUAUAUUAUAAUACUUUCUCAAGCGAGUAAAAUAGACUCUCGCAUGUUGUAUGUAAUAUGCUUAAUUGCAGUUGUAAAUAUUUCUAUGUAUAUUUGUGUGGCUGAUCUCCCUCGCAAGAUAAUACGUAAAUUAUUGACAAUGUUUCGAAAUAAUGCAGAGCAUUAGUUUAUAACUUUGAACGCAAAUUUAUAUUUCGUGAAAAGCGAAGACUGCAGAAAAUUGUAUUAAUGUAUAUAUGAUAUUUUGGCUAUAUCUAGCUACUGUAAUUAACUCUUGAAAAUUAGAUUUUAUGACAAAAUAACACGAAAAUCGUCAAGUGGGGAAUUUUGUGGGCAGACGUCACUCCUGAGCGGCAUAUGUUCAUGUCUUAACAAGUACUGAAUCUGGUAUCGUGUAUAGCUGCGGUCUAAAACUGUCCACGCCUGCAUGAACUUGACCACAAGUUUGGUCAAGCUUGGCAGACAUGUCAUAAUGAUCCAGUGUUAUUCCAGGACGAAACCUGGACGAAGUGCUGUUUAAUAAACGAGCAGGAGUG